UAUAGAGGGUGCGAGCGUUGUCCGGAAUCACUGGGCGUAAAGGGCGCGUAGGUGGCGCUGCAAGUCGGUGGUGAAAGCUCGCCGCUUAACGGCGAGUCGGCCAUCGAAACUGCAGGGCUCGAGCACUGUAGGGGCUAAUGGAAUUCCGGGUGUAGCGGUGGAAUGCGUAGAGAUCCGGAAGAACACCAGUGGCGAAGGCGACUACCUGGCCUGUUCUUGACGCUGAGGCGCGAAAGCUAGGGGAGCAAACGGG
rnacentral:rRNA from 1 species